CAAAAAAAUAUGGAAAAGUGUAUGAAGACUUCGAUCCAGAAAAUCAAGAGCACUGAUGACCUCCAGUCCCCCCAUAUAAUGUCAACGCCGGUUAGGGAAAGAUCAUCUGACUUCCCCUUGCUCAAAUCCAGUGUCACGGGAGGUUGUUCGCUAGGAAUGACUUGUCGUGGAAGC